UGCGGCGGCGGCGGGGUUGGCGCCUGCGGCUACGGCGGCCAGGACGCCGGAGGCGGCGGCCGAGUUGAGGCCCAGGCUGAGCGAGUUGGUGUUGUAGCCGUAGCUGGCCAACGUGUUGAGCGCCGUGCUGAUGGCCAGCAGGUUGAUGCCCUCGGGCUUCUGCGACAGCUGCACCCACGCGCCGGACUGUUCCAUCACCGCCUUCACGGUCGCUCCUCCCUUACCGAUGAUCAGUCCUGCCGUGCUGUUGGGGACGAUGAGCUUGGCCUGCGUGGGGGGAGAAAGAGACAGAGUCUGCGCGGGG
rnacentral:lncRNA from 1 species